rfam:Homo sapiens chromosome Y, GRCh38 reference primary assembly.
GCCGGGUGUGGUGGCGGGCACCUGUAGUCCCAGCUACUAGGGAGGCUGAGGCAGGAGAAUCACUUGAACCCAGGAGGUGGAGGUUGCAGUGAGCCAAGAUCGAGCCAUUGCACUCCAGCCUGGGUGACAGAGUGAAACUCUGUCUCAA